CCCCACUUCGGUGUCCCGCUUGCUACCCUGUCUCUACUCAUAUAUAAGCAGAGACUGGGCAUGAGUCUGUUGUUCUUCUGGUCGAACUGGGUGACUCUGCAGACUCUGUGGGAGCUGUCACUGUGGAAAAAUCCUGUGUCUUCUCAUCGCCCAUCUCUUAUCUCUUGACAGAUUUUUUAAACUCCUCCACCAUGAAACAGUCGUGGUAAACAGCUCUACCUCUAGCUGGGACGUCCUGCCCAGUAACCGGCCUGCUACCAUGCCCAGGAUUAGGGAGACAGAGAAAGCGAAAGUGAAAAAACAGGACAUGGCUCUGAACUCGACAUGUGAAGCAGAAAAGAAAGAGGAGCCUUUGUCACUUCAGACUGAGCCCUAGCUGACAACUCAGUCAACGUCAGGCCCCAG
rnacentral:lncRNA from 1 species